rnacentral:rRNA from 1 species
UACGGAGGGUGCAAGCGUUAUCCGGAUUCACUGGGUUUAAAGGGUGCGUAGGAGGGCAGGUAAGUCAGUGGUGAAAUCCCCCGAGCUUAACUUGGGGAACUGCCGUUGAUACUAUCUGUCUUGAAUACCGUGGAGGUGAGCGGAAUAUGUCAUGUAGCGGUGAAAUGCUUAGAUAUGACAUAGAACACCAAUUGCGAAGGCAGCUCGCUACACGAAUAUUGACUCUGAGGCACGAAAGCGUGGGGAUCAAACAGG